rnacentral:rRNA from 1 species
GUGGGGAAUUUUGGACAAUGGGCGCAAGCCUGAUCCAGCAAUGCCGCGUGCAGGAAGAAGGCCUUCGGGUUGUAAACUGCUUUUGUACGGAACGAAACGGCUCUGGUUAAUACCCGGGGCUAAUGACGGUACCGUAAGAAUAAGCACCGGCAAACUCUGUGCCAGCAGCCGCGGUAAUACAGAGGGUGCAAGCGUUAAUCGGAGUUACUGGGCGUAAAGGGCGCGUAGGCUGGUAUUUAAGUCGGUUGUGAAAUCCCUGGGCUUAACCUAGGAAUUGAAGCCGAUACUGGAUGCCUGGAGUAUGGUAGAGGAAAGUGGAAUUCUCGGUGUAGUGGUUAAAUACGUAGAUAUCGAGAAGAACACCAGUGGCGAAGGCGGCUUUCUGGACCAAUACUGACGCUGAGGCGCGAAAGCGUGGGGAGCAAACAGGAUUAGAAACCCCAGUAGUCC